rnacentral:lncRNA from 1 species
UUCAUUCAAUCAAAGGUAAAAUGAAUCUGCUUGUAUUUUUCUUAUAUUUUAUGUUCAUGGGUUUUUCUAUGAGAUGCAAUGAUGUUUAUAUAAACAAAAUAUUAUAAGAUUAAUAUUCUGGAAAAAAUCUGAUAAUAGUAAAUUGGUACAUUUUUAUAAUAGUAAUGUUUACUAAACUUUUGGACAAUACAUUUGUAACGCCUUAGCUUUUGUAGAAUUUUUGGGGAGGAUCAUGAUUUUUAAUCAAAUAUUGCCACCGUUCAAAGAUUUGUACAAAUAUACUUAAUUGUGAUCAAACAACAUGAAGAAAAAAUAAUCAAAUUCAGUGUAAUAUUUACUCAACUGUUGAUCAAUUUCAAUUAAAUGUCUACUUGAAGAUACAUAACCUGUAAAAAUAUUCAUGAACCAAAACAAUGUGAAGGGGAGACAAUUCAUUUGUCAUUGAUUUCUCUGAUGAAACUGACCUUGCAAGUGCUACUCCUCAUAACUGUUUGAUAUAGAUAAAACAUCACACAAAGUAAAGUACCUUUUAUAUGAAGAUGUGCAUGAAGCAAAGUAAUUUUAUGUAUCACAAGGUCUUCGAAUGAUUGAAAGUGAAAUUUCAUUUUGAUUAUUCAUAAUGUUGACCCUAUUAGUAAAACUCCUAAACCAUUUAAAAAGGAAUUCAAUAAAACUUCUUGCAAAAACAUUAACAAAAGGAUUUUAUUUGAGUGAACAUUGGUGAAACAGCAGAAACCAGAAGACUAGACAUCUUAAAUGAUAGACAAGCUUACAGAUAUAUGUUUAAGAAAAGCAUUAUACAUGUACCACCGAUGAGGCUAUAACAUCUUUAAUAUCAGACUAAUGACAAAAACAGUGCUUUUGGUGUUAUACAUGUUGGCAACUAUUGCAUCCUCAAAAAAAUGUAAAUUUAAAAAUUAUUGUUGCACAUUUAUUAUUGCGAUUUUCGAAGAAUAACAUAAAUGCAAGAUUAAUAAUUGUGAUUUUUUGAAAAUCUGCAUACAGAUAUUUGCACCAAGUAUCAGAAUGUGAGUAACUAUUAUUACAAUUCUCACCCGACCACAUUCUUUUCAGUAAUAAAAAUCUAGCUUUAAUUUCUGAAUUUAUAGUAUGUCUUUUUCUUUUGAAAAUAAAGAUGACAGCAAUAAUCAAAUCAACAUACAUGUACUUAAACAUUUCACUCACACCAUACAGGAUUUAAGCUAUCUGUAAUGAACCUAUACAAUUGCAUUUCCAGAUAUCAGAUAUAAAAAAAAAGAGUCCUCCCUGGUGUACCAACAUUUAACAAUUGAUUAAUAUUGAGUGAUUCUGUUUUUUGGUUCGAAGCAAAGUAAAAUAAUAUUGAAUGUUUAUUCAUUCAUGUAUCAUGUACAUCAAAGAUGCUCAUAUAUAUGUUUUUGUAAAAGUAUUUGUUUAAUUUGAAGUGACAUAUAAAAGCCAGAUUGUGUUUAUUUUUACUAAACAUUCGGUGUGUGAUGUUCUUGCCUGAAUAAUAUCAUAUUUGACAUUUAAUUAGGUCUAUUUGCUAGUUAUUUACUAGUCAAGUUAUGUUACAUUAAUAAAACAGUGUUUAAUCAAUGUGCCAUUCUGCAUUCACCAGAUAUGCUUCUUUAAUCCUUAACCUUGAGAUGUUAUAAAGCUCAACUCCUCGCUAAGGAAUGUUCACUUAUAUAAAAUUUAGAAUAGUUUGGGGGGGGGGGGGGGGGGGGGGGGGGGUGGGUGAGGUUCAAUUUAAAUCUCAAGGAAAACCAAAAACAUCUAAAUUUGUAUAUUUGAUGCUCUCUGCUUAGCAUGCAGCAUUUAUGAGAAAGAACCCUGUCAGAAUUACGUGUAAAAGUAAGGUUACCUUGUUAACUAGUACAUUUAAAAUGUCAGUGUAGUAAAAACAGACAGGGUUCAUAUUUUUAUUACAUUGACAUGUUCCAAUCCUAAAUUGCAUUUAAUUUGCCACCAGGAGUUAAACAGCCAUCCAUCAACUUUUCAUCUUUUCGUUUCUUUGUUUGAACAUGUUGAAUGUAUUAAUAAGAAAAUAAAACGCAUUCAUUAAUUUUAUCUUGUAAAAUGUUCCUUUCAUUAAUUUCAUAUUUAACAAUCCACUUUAGAUAGUAGCUAGUGUGAUAUUUUAUAAAUUGAUUAAUAAGUAAAUUGGUGCUUUGUAUUAACAGUCUGUCAUUGACAUAUUUUAAUGUUCUGUGGUUUUGCUAAUUAAUACAAAUGUAGUAAUUUUUGUUCCUUAUUAAAUUGAACUGUUAUAUGAAUUUGUACUUGUCAACAAUUGUAAUGUUUAUUGAAGAUGUUGUAGUUAUUAUUAUUAGUAAAUAGUUUCUGUAUUUUGGGAACCAAAGUAUAUUUUAUUCAAGUGAUUUCAUCAUUACUUUACUAUAUUUGUUAAUUAUGUAUUUUACAAAUUAAUUCAUGAAAGAUGUAAGCAUUACUUUAGUGUAUUUGUUAAUGAUAUAUUUUGCAAAUUGAUUCAUGAAACAUGCUAGCAUCAUAUUAAAGCACAGGCAUUUAUUUAAUUUUGUUUCUUAUUUCAACAUUAGUAUUCCAUGAGAAGGUGUAUUUACCUUUGAAAAAAAUUGGUCAGACUCAAAUGGCAGAACUAAUUGAAUGCAAUAUGAAUUAGAAUAGAGAAUGUAAACAGGAAAUGUGAUGAAGGCAACAAUCCAACCAAAGAGCCGAAAACACCC